AAAAAAAAAAAAAUCCAAUCAAAAAUUAAUUCAACCUGUCUACAAACGAGUCACAGCCACUGGUCACAGCGCUUCUGUGCUCAGAGAAGUUACCCAGUUACCACACCCUAUUCAGCCAAUCCAUCGGUUGCAUAUUAUACAGUAAUCUCGUUGAGCCAAUCAGAAUAUAGAUCGCUCUGUUGUUUGGCAGAUCUAGUCAAAGAGGGAGGACUUUCAGCCAGAGUGUCAGGCGCGAAGAACUGUCCGAUUCGAUUCUAACUAACACACGUCGGUGAACAACUGAAGGAGAAUGGCACCACUGGAGGCUGACAAUGUUUUAAAUGUUCGUUCAGUCAGAGACUUUUUGGGGUAUUUAUAGGGUCUUUCUGGGUAUUAUAGGGUAGAAUAACUUUGGUUUAGUCACCUUAGAGCUGUCAUGAACUUGGAUACGUUUUUAAUCAUUUGUUGUUUAUUUAGAAUGUUAGGGAAGAAACAGAAGAGCCUUAUUUCCUUCUGGGAAAAGGCUCAGAAACCAAAGGCAAGGAAGGCAGAUAAUGUGACGAUGGAAGAGACUGAAAUGGCUACUACAUCAGGGGAGAUAACAGAGAAGACUUUGGAUAUAGUGAAAGAGAGGGAAGAGGAGACUAUGGAAGAAGAAGAAAGGGUAGAGGUGAAUGCAGCAGAAGGUGGAGGGCGCAAGUGAAGAUGAUGGUGCUGAGGUCAGGGUAGUGGCUAAAAAAAGGCACUUAGCUGGGGCUGCCACUUACAGAUGCACCUUUAAAAGUGAAUGGACUGUAAAAUGGCCAUUCAUAACUGUAGGCACCACCAACUCCUACUACUGGUGCUCUGUCUGCAGACAGGAAAAUUCCUGUUGCCAUCAAGGCAUAGCAGAUGUGCAGCGACACAUUAAAAGUAAAUCACACCUGUCUAAAGAGCAGGCACUGCAGUCCACCAGUAGGAUUGGACAGUUUUAUACUCCAGUUGGUGUUGGUGGCAUGACUACACAAGAGUCCAAGGUAUCAAUGUUUUUCCAUCAUGUCUGAUUAUAACAAAAUAUUAUCAUAUAUUUAAAUUCAUUGUGAACAAUUACCUGGUUACCAUUCUUUUCUGUUUAAGACAAGGAGAGCUGAGGUGAGUGGCUGUGGCCAUGGUACAGCAUUGUAGCUGACGCUCGCAAUACAGCAAUGUGUUACUGUGGCAAAGCCAGAAGUUUAUGAGAUCAUAUUUGAUUUCUGAUUGGUUUUUUUUAUGUUGCAUAAAUUAAUGAUGAAAUCCGUAAUGCAAAUCGUUGAAGCUGUAGACCUUAUUGAAAUAUUAAGUUUAAUUUGUUUUAUUAAUUUGUGGAGAGACGUCAUUUCCUGUCUGGGUAACGUGCGCGGGAAAUUGUGAGUGGAAGCUAAGCGAAAGAGAAAAGAGACGAGAGAAAGAGACAAGGAAAAGAUGAGAUGACUGUCUACUACUGGCUAAAUAGGCGCACACGGUAACUAUUGUAAAUAUUGAAAAUUGUGUACCUUUGUAGAAGAAAUUUUUCUAAAAAUGAUGUAUAUGCAAUGUGUUUUUGUUGUUGUCAGAUUUCACGGUGUUCCGUAACUUGGUGAAGAAAAUAAAAUGGUAGUGGACACCAGUAAGAGGCGUGAAUCUUAUUACCAGAGUAGAUACAAGCAUAAUGUGCCAUUUGCGGUCGUGGAUCAUUUGAGUCCUUUGUUGAGAAAUUGCUUUAUUGACUCCCCCACCGCACAACAAUAUAAGUGUGCCAGCACCAAAACCACAUGCAUAAUAAAUAAAGCUGUGGCACCCCACUUCAAAGAGGAGCUGGUCACCAAGAAGAAUAGCAAUCCCUUCACACUCAUAACAGAUGGCUCCAAUGAUACAGGUGUUAUAUUGACAGCCAAUUUAGAUAUCCUCUUUUUUCAGUGUACAUUGUUUACAUGUCAGUGGUGCAUGUAUGUUAUUUGUCUAAUGUAAUGUUUAAACAUUUAGGACAUGAGAAAAUGAACCCCCUCACUGUCAGGGUGUUUGAUGGCCAGGCUGUUGUCCACAGGUUUUUGGAUAUGUGCACAACAAGUGGGCAGCGCUGUGGUACUGCCGAGGCCAUUUUCCAAAAAAUAAAUGCUGUCCUAGAAAAAAAAACAACAUUCCUUGGAGCAACUGUGUUGCCUUGUCCAUUGAUAAUGCCCCAGUCAAUACGGGGGCAAGAAACUCGAUUGCCUCCAGGAUACUGGCAGAGAAUCCCAGCGUAUACAUCCACGGGUGCCCAUGUCAUAUCCUGCACAACACAGCCAAACAUGCUGGGCAGGGUUUCAUGGAAGUGACUGGAUUUGACCCUGAAGACUUGGCUAUUGAUGUGGGGCACUGAUUUAGAGGCAGAACAUAUCGCAAAGGCUACCUCACAGAAUUCUGUGACUUACAUGAGUCCGAAUACAUGGAGAUAUUAUCACACAUCGCCAUCCGUUGGCUGAGCCUGGAGCGGUGCUUGAAUCGUGUUCUGAAGCAAUACAAGCCACUCUGCAGCUAUUUCCAGUCAGCAAAUGAGAAACAGCCACGGUUCAUAAGGCUUGCGGGUGCCUUCUCUGACCCAAUGACUGUGUACCUCCUCUUCUAUCAGGCAACAUUGCCAACCUUCACCUCCCUUAAUUUGCUACUUCAGAGGGAGAAGCCAUCUGUUUUCCUUCUCUAUGAAGAGGCAACUCACUGGGAGAUAACCUGCUCUUAGAGCUGUCCGUUGCCAUCACUGAGAAGAACAUUUAAAUCUACUUGAAGUUUCAUGCAAUGAUUUCACGGAACUGCAGAGUUCAACUGAUUCCUGGGCAGAAGAUUCACAAACAGUAUGUAGGUGGAAAAAGCCGAUAUGGAGAAUCUACAGACAACUGACACAGACGAGCCACAAGGCCCACAUUUGGUGCUGUAUCAUAGUUCCGAUGUUACAGCUUCUGUCCGGAAGGGGUCUGUGUUUUUUCGUUCCCGGUUAUCUCUUCGACAGCACUUAGAGUUCAUCUACAGAUUUUCUCAGGGACUGAGACUGAGACAGAUGGAUCUUCUUGAGGAUGGAGUUGCAGGCAGUAGCAGAACUCUCACCAAGAUGACAUCCACAUUGAGAAAAUAUAACCGGGGACGUGUAGGUGCUGCCUGGCGACGGAGCAAGAAGUGGGUACUCGCAAUUCUGGAAGUGAGUGCUACCACCCGGAAGCCCAUACUGAAAAUUGUCUCCAGCAGGUCAAGUGAGCAGCUGCUACCUAUUGUGAGACGCUAUGUGAGAAGAGGAACCAGUAUUAUAACUGAUAAGUGGCGAGCAUAUAGAGGUCUGUCAGAUUUCAGCUAUGAUCACCAUAUAGUUUGCCACAAGAGACAUUUUGUGCAUCCACUUACCAGGGCCCACACCCAGCACCUGGAGCGGGCAUGGCAAAAAUUCAAGGUUGAUGUGUGGAGACACCGAGUAAACCGAAACACAAAACUUCUGAAAGAAUACCUAAAGAUUAUAGAGUGGGAACACUGGUUGGCCAAAAAGCACAAAUGGGGCAUACUUGGAAGACUGCUCCAUGACAUUAGAAAACUGUAUAAAUGUCAAUGUUAAUUAAGUAGUUUUGAUCAGCAUUCUGAAUUUUGUGGCCCUGAACAACUGAUGUCUGUCUAGCUUUUUUACCGAUAAAAUACAAUGUAGAGAAACUGUCUAUUCAGAUGUAUUGAAAUUGGCAUGUAGUAUGUUUUUUGAAGUUGUUUUAGAGGCAAAUUGUCCUAAAUUAUCAAACUUCAUUAGAUUUUUUUACAUUCAAAAUGUAUUUAAAUUUGUCAAAAUGUUUAUGUCAAAUGUAUCUUAGAAUAACUAUUGAAAAUAUAACUUACGUGUUUAUGCAUACAUGUUUUUAUUAACUAUGGGUUUAUUUAUUGUCAAAUGUACAUGUUCAAACAUACAAACUUGUGCUUCUUGUACUCUUCUUUAUAUGUUGUUAUAAGUUCAUAUAGAGCUGAUCAGUAACAUCACUUUACCUACAAUCUGUAAGGAGCACUUAUAAAUGUUCAUUAAUUGUUAUGUGCACUUAUAAAGUCAUUUUUAUUUUAAAGAUACUGAAGAGCAUUAGAGUACGCCAGUGAGAAUGGGGUUCUCACUGUGAAUCUUUAUAAAGCAUUAUGAGAAUAAACAAAGCAGUUGUUAUAAAAAUUUAUGAUGCUGGUCUCACCAAUAUUCCAGAGAACAGGAACAUGUAUAUAUUAUAGGGCAUUACAGCAUUAUAGUGCUAUAAAGCCUUAUAAUGUGCUCUUAUAGCAUGUUAUGUGUGUAAUUAUAAACACUUAUGUACAGUUACAAAUGCUUAUGUCAAACAUUAUAAAGCCUUAUGAAUGCUUUAUAGAUGUUUAUAAAUGCACUUAUAAUGCAUUAUAGAUGCCGGAUUCAUAGAAAGUGUUACCCAAAGUAUUCAGAGAAACAGAUGGACAACGGUCUGUAAUAUAAAGUGCACCUAUAUAAAUGGACUGGAUAAAAUGAGUAAAUAGUGUAGAUAUAAGAAGGUGUACUUAAUGAUAUGGCUGGUUUGUGUAUAUGACAGGUGUUUCUGAUAAACUGGCGAAUGAGUUUACACGCAAAGUAGACGUACUUAAUAAACUGACCUUUAUCCUUACGUCUUUAUGCUGUAUAACUACUUAUGCCAGACCCCUCCCAUGGCCAGAUGAAAUGUUCAGUAAUUAGAAGGUUGUCAACUGUUGGCAAAUGUACAGGUGUCUGUUGAAUCAGCUUCUCAAUUGCAGAGGAUAAUGCAGUCUUUUCCUCAGCAGAUUUUUUGGGAUGGUGCCAUCAAGACAAAAUUAGGAUAAUGUCAUUGAUAUCAGAAUAUUAUUUUUCAAACAAGAGGAUAACAUAAACCAUGUCUGAAAAACUGGUACCCAGUCAGAGAAAGGCACAGGCUCUGUUCAUUCAGACAUGGCUUGCCACUUGUAUGAUGGUAAAGGUUGUGUUUCCUGUGUUUGAUACUGCGGAACAGUCCCUCUAUUUUACUCUGCAGAGGUUUCACAUCAGCUGGCUUGUCAGGAUUAGAACUACAUAUAACUGAACAGAAUAAAAAACAAUUAGGAGAAAAAAUACAAUUAUACACUAAUAAAAAUAAACAAACAUGUUAGAAUAAAAGCCCAACAACUAACUUUACUAUGAGAGGUAAAUCCAGAAUCCAUAAAAUAAAUAAAAAUGAAAACAAUAAAAUGCAAAUGCAAACCUCUCUUUGCCAUUUCUUCAGAUCUGCAGACAUUGUCAUAUCUAAAAUGAAAAAGCUAAUAAAGAAAA